GGUGAAGGUGGUGGUGGAGGUUCAGGUGUUAGUGAGAAUGAAAAUGGAGAUGGGGUGAAGGUGGUGGUGGAGGUUCAGGUGUUAGUGAGAA